rnacentral:lncRNA from 1 species
GGAGUUUACAGCCUUACUACUCCACUUUCUUGAUAUCAAAGAAGUUGUGGUUUUCUUCACAAAGAAAGUGAUAUAAGAAUGAGAAUUUGUUCGGCUCUUCAUUAUAAUACAAUGGAAAGCUGAAGUCAGGGUGCAGAGCACAGAAAAAACACAACUCUGAAAAAUAUUUGCACAAUACACGGGUCACCUUGAAAAACUGUUGGAUUGGUGUCUGUUUAUUGCAGCAGAUCAUCAGGAUCUCUUCCUUGAGGUGUUUAUG